CCUAACACAUGCAAGUCGAACGGAGAUAAUUGAGUUUACUUAAUUAUCUUAGUGGCGGACGGGUGAGUAACACGUGAGCAACCUGCCUCUGAGAGAGGGAUAGCUUCUGGAAACGGAUGGUAAUACCUCAUAACAUAUGCUUAAGGCAUCUUAGGCAUAUCAAAGAUUUAUCACUCAGAGAUGGGCUCGCGUCUGAUUAGCUAGAUGGUGAGGUAACGGCUCACCAUGGCGACGAUCAGUAGCCGGACUGAGAGGUUGAACGGCCACAUUGGGACUGAGACACGGCCCAGACUCCUACGGGAGGCAGCAGUGGGGAAUAUUGCACAAUGGGGGAAACCCUGAUGCAGCGAUGCCGCGUGGAGGAAGAAGGUUUUCGGAUUGUAAACUCCUGUCUUAAAGGACGAUAAUGACGGUACUUUAGGAGGAAGCUCCGGCUAACUA
rnacentral:rRNA from 1 species